rnacentral:misc_RNA from 1 species
UCGCGGCUUAUCACCGGCAGUCUCCUUAGAGUGCUCAACUAAAUGGUAGCAACUAAGGACGGGGGUUGCGCUCGUUGCGGGACUUAACCCAACAUCUCACGACACGAGCUGACGACAGCCAUGCACCACCUGUGCAGGCUCCGAAGAGCGCCCGCUUUCACGGGUUUCACCCCGCAUGUCAAGCCCAGGUAAGGUUCUUCGCGUUGCAUCGAAUUAAGCCGCAUGCUCCGCCGCUUGUGCGGGCUCCCGUCAAUUCCUUUGAGUUUUAGCCUUGCGGCCGUACUCCCCAGGCGGGGCACUUAAUGCGUUAGCUACGGCGCCGGGGGAGUCGACACCCCCAACACCUAGUGCCCAUCGUUUACGGCGUGGACUAC